ACUCAAAGGAAUUGACGGGGGCUCACACAAGCGGUGGAGCAUGUGGCUCAAUUCGAAGCAACGCGCAGAACCUUACCUGGUCUUGACAUGGCUGGAUUAGUUCCUGGAAACAGGAAUGACGCUCGCAAGAGUGGAACAGUCACAGGUGCUGCAUGGCUGUCGUCAGCUCGUGCUGUGAAGCGUCGGGUUAAGUCCUCUAACGAGCGCAACCCCUGUCGGUAGUUACUAACGCGUCAUGGCGAGGACUCUACCGAGACUGCCGGUGUCAAACCGGAGGAAGGCGGGGAUGACGUCAAGUCCUCAUGGCCCUUACGACCAGGGUUGCACACGUGCUACAAUGGUGCAUACAAAGCGACGCGAGACCGCAAGGUGGAGCAAAUCGCAAAAACUGCACCCCAGUUCGGAUUGCAGGCUGCAACCCGCCUGCAUGAAGCCGGAAUCGCUAGUAAUCGCGGAUCAGCUACGCCGCGGUGAAUGUGUUCCUGAGCCUUGUACACACCGCCCGU
rnacentral:rRNA from 1 species